GCAGCCGCGGUAAUUCCAGCUCUAAUAGCGUAUAUUAAAGUUGUUGCAGUUAAAAAGCUCGUAGUUGAAUUUCGGGAUCAAUAUAUUGGUCGUGCCUCCGGUAUGCACUGGUAUUAUUGAUUUCUACCUUCUGACGAACUGUGAUGUCAUUAAUUUGGUGUCAUGGGGAAUCAGAACUGUUACUUUGAAAAAAUUAGAGUGUUUAAAGCAGGCACACGCUUGAAUACACUAGCAUGGAAUAAUGAAAUAGGACGUUUAACCCUAUUUUGUUGGUUUCUAGGAUCGACGUAAUGAUUAAUAGGGAUAGUUGGG
rnacentral:rRNA from 1 species